rnacentral:rRNA from 1 species
UACGUAGGGGCAAGCGUUGUCCGGAAUCAUUGGGCGUAAAGGGCGCGUAGGCGGCCUUCUAAGUCGAACGUGAAAUCCCCGGGCUCAACCCGGGAACUGCGUCCGAUACUGGAAGGCUUGAAUCCGGGAGAGGGAUGUGGAAUUCCAGGUGUAGCGGUGAAAUGCGUAGAUAUCUGGAGGAACACCGGUGGCGAAGGCGACAUCCUGGGCCGGUAUUGACGCUGAGGCGCGAAAGCCAGGG